UUCCUCUUUACAGGUUUUGAUACAUUACAUUACUUAUCCUGUACUGAUCCUGACUUAUAUGCUUUAUUAUACUCCAGAGCUGUACUCACUAUUUUGCUGAUGGAAGGAGACGUGCCGCGCAUAGGCACGCUUAGAGACGCCGGCCCGCCCCCAGUGACAACGCUUGCCAAGGAAGAGCAGAGCGCCAUGCCACAGACUUACCUAGCCCCUGUGCCCACCUGCAGCGGCUGCGGUAUGCAGGACACCAGGUCUCCAGGCAUCACACCAUCAGGACAGCAGAUUCUGCAGAGACGAGUGAUGGGCAGAAGAAG